rnacentral:rRNA from 1 species
UUGGAGGGCAAGUCUGGUGCCAGCAGCCGCGGUAAUUCCAGCUCCAAUAGCGUAUAUUAAAGUUGUUGCAGUUAAAAAGCUCGUAGUUGAAUUUCGGGAUCAUCAGGUUGGUCAUGCCAUUGGUAUGUACUAGCUUUGGUGGUUCCUACCUCUUGAAGAACCGUAAUGUCAUUAACUUGGUGUUGCGGGGAAUCAGGACUGUUACUUUGAAAAAAUUAGAGUGUUUAAAGCAGGCAAACGCUUGAAUACAUUAGCAUGGAAUAAUGAAAUAGGACGUUUGAUCUUAUUUUGUUGGUUUCUAGGAUCGACGUAAUGAUUAAUAGGGAUAGUUGGGGGCAUUAGUAUUCAAUUGUCAGAGGUGAAAUUCUUGGAUUUAUUGAAGACUAACUACUGCGAAAGCAUUUGCCAAGGAUGUUUUCAUUAAUCAAGAACGAAAGUUAGGGGAUCGAAGACGAUCAGAUACCGUCGUAGUCUUAACCAUAAACUAUGCCGACUAGGAAUCAGACGAUGUUAAUUUUUUAAUGACUCGUUUGGCACCUUACGGGAAAC